rnacentral:lncRNA from 13 species
UCAUAUACAGUACUAUUUCACCAUUAAGUUUGAAGACUUGAUUCAUGUACCUUUGAACCUCCGAAAUUUCUUACCAUUUUCCAACCUUUUAGUGAUUUAGGAGAGAGUGAAGAAACUAUGUAGCAACUAAAAAGUCAUAAUCAAAAUGAACACUUUUUUUUAAGAAGUGAUGAGAAUUUUUCUACCUUCAAAAAAGUGAGAAGCUUUUCUCCUUAACUUUAUGAGGACAUGAACUUGGGACCCACCGAACAGCAGGUGCAAAAAGGGCUGUAACACCUUCCUGAAUGGAUCACCAAGCUGCAGGAGACAGAAGAAGAGGAGAAGACACAAAGAAGAGAGGGUGGUGUGCAGACAGAUACAGGGUAUGUAUUGUUGUAGCCACAAAUCAAG